rnacentral:lncRNA from 1 species
UUGACUGUUGACCACCUCAUCUCUGAGCUGUGUACAUCGUGUCCUUAAAUUGCAAUUACGUAAUUCUCAUGUUAAACAAAUAUGCAACUACUUUAAUUUGCAAGUGUUGUAAUCUUGUGGAGGCAGCCAAAAUUAAAUGUUUAGGUAUCUAAUAUGAAAGUCCAUGCAGAUUACUUGUAUCACUCAAAUUCAUAACAUCAUAAACAAAAAGACAAGGCAAACUCUUAUGCAUGACUUGCAAUGAUAAAGCAUGUCUUUUUAUUUUCGUCCUUGUUAUCCUUAAAAAGCAAAAACAUCUUCAGUUCCAUUAAAGCUAAGAUUACUAUGUUAACAGGCUUGGUUUCUGUCUGAGUCCAGAAUUCUACAAACAGGCCACGUAUAACACGAUUUCAUUUCUUCCCCCUUCCCAUAUGAGAUAAGGAAGUCGACUGAAAGUUUGUUGAUUUCAUUAGUCAUCAACUCAUCAUUGCAGCUUUGAACUUCCUACAACUUUAACCAACGCGCACACACACCCCUUUUACCCAUUCACUGAAUAAGCAGAGUUAGGUGACUAUGAAGUCUAGAAAUUGGACCCAACCUAUGAGUAUCUGGCCUGUUCUAAGUGGCACAACCCACAGGUUGUUGUGACGGCUGGGGUCUGGUCUGGUACCAACCAGAACCAUCAAAACCAUGUUGGGAACUUUGGGUUGCAACUUCCUUGAUAAGGUAAACCAAGAGAAACAUUAUUCAAUGUGGUUGAGAAAAGUGUUAGGUGAAGAAGUGCAAUAAAAAAAAAUGCAGAAUACUGUGAAAUACAAGCCUCAGUAUAUAUAUAUAGCUGAGGGAGGGGUUUUUAAAAGAAAUCCAGCUGGUGGAGGUGACCAACCAGGAAGUGGAAACAUCUGAGAGCAAAUUACCUGUUCGUUAAAAACUUCAUGAACAAACCUAUUUUAUAAUUGGAUAUUUCAUGUGUAAAUCAUAUGAUCAUGACUUUCACCAAAGCAUAUAUAAUCUUCUCUCCAAAGUAUUGAUUAAGUAUUGGGUUUCUUCAUUUGUUGAAAUGGAUAAAAAAGGAAGAAGCAUUGACUCACAAGUCUUAAAACAUUGAAAAUAGGACCCUUUUUAACUUAUGCAUGCAAACAAGGAAGAAC